rnacentral:lncRNA from 1 species
UUCUUUUGGCAGAAAACAUUUAAUUAUAAACAGGUCUUAAACACAUCCAUAAGAUCAUGAAAAAGAAAGAAAAAUAACCCUGUUUUUCUUAUUAACACCAAAAAUAUCAUCUCAGUACACAGAUUUAAUAACAUUUUUAUACUAUCAACAACCUGUAACACAAAAUUCGCUACAGUAUGGCACACAGAAUCAAGCUUUUACAACUCAGAUCACAAUUAUACAUAAAUUAUUUACACAAACAUUAAAAUAACUAUUAAAUAUUGUUUGGGAGGAAAAUGUAAGAUUUUUCAUAUAUUAUGCAAAUGUUAAUUAUUAUCAAGAGGUUUUGAAAAUGUUUUUUCUGUUUUGUUUUCUUUAUAGAAGAUUCAUUUCCAAAAAAGUAAGGUGCUAUUUUAGAAUUUCUUACAAGUAUAUAACUGAAUUCACAUGGAAGGAAAAUACUGGAUAAAAAACAGAAAACAGACAUCAAAGGUUAAAAGUUUCUUUCCAGUUACUU